CUUCGGUAAGUAAAACCUUAAAGAUGCAGUUAAUAGCGUUAUUAAAAAUCGUGGCUCCUACGAAUACCAUUCAACAAUACGACUGCUAGAUUUGGGUGCGGUUCAGUGUGAAACACAGCGCGCAAUACUAAAGAUGGAUAAUAUAUAAUAUUAGAGAGUGCAGCUAAUAAUCUCAAUAAGAAAAGGCGAUUAUUUGAAAAUUUAGUGUAAUUGGAAAAUGUGUUCAAAGUGCCAUUUUUAUUGAUUGUGGCUUUAUGUACCUGUGUGUUAAAAGGCGUUUUUUUUGUUAUCUUUUUACUUUUUUUAAUUUCGACAAUAGUGAAAACGGGAACACUUUAGUAUACCGUCCCAGGAUUUCGGGAAUAAAAUGGGUAGAGAAGGUUCUCCAGAUCAAGGAUAUAUACAUAUAGUUAUAGCCGCAGGAAGCUUGUAGUUUUCGAGAUAUUUACGUUUAAAGUAGAAAAUCCCCACUAUUUGAAUUACAUAUUUUUUCGAUUUAAAAUAAAUUUUACACUUAUACACUUAUAGUUUUAUAUCAAUAUUAAACUUAUUGUUCAAAUCUUUUUAUUUGACAACUAAAGGGUCUGUCAAAUAAUCAGUGGUACCUUAUCGACAUCUUUUGUAAAUGAACUAAAAGAAAUAAAAAAACUAGAUUACACUCAAAAAAAGGAUUUUUGCAUUGUUUAUCGCAAAAAAUCUUUUUAUUACCCUCCAUUGGGAUGUGUCAAGUUUUUUUCGUGUAAAAUACCUUUUUGUUAAUCUUUCUCUCAAUUGUAUUUUUGUUAGUUUGUUAAAAUAUAUUAAUAUGGUAACACUGACUAUUUGACAGUUUGUAGCUCUUUCGUUAUUGAUUUCUAUAUUGAAUAGAUUUGAACAAUAAGUAAAAUAUUGAAUUAAAACUAUUUUUGCAUUAUAUAAUUUAAAAUAAAUGUGUACAAACAAAUUAGCGAAGUGCUAGUGGAUAUAAAUCCUGGGACGGUAUUCUAAAGCCGAACCUAAUUAUUAUCUAGUGCGAUUUUUCUAUCAUCGCAGUUCGGCUUUUUACAUCGUUAUUCGUAUUUCUUAUUAUUAUUCUAUCAUCACUUAUUUCUAUUAUUGUGGUUUUGUUAUUAUAUAUAAAUUCACAUGUAUUUGAAACUAUACAGCUUUUACAUAAUUUAAUUUUUUUUUUACAUAAUUUUAUCACUUCAUAAUCGAAAUAAUUUUCGCCAAUCUUGGUGACAACUUUUUCUUUUUCAUUAAUCUGCAAUUUAUUUUUAUUUGGGAGUUAUUAUUUUAAUUUUAGUUAAAAAAAAAUCUUCGGUAUUUGAAUGGAAAAUAUUAUUGUUUGAUUUUUGUAUACUACUACUCCUCCUUUGGCAAUUUUAAUUUGUAAAAAUCAAUUUCAUAUUUUUCAAUUUCUUCCCCAGUUAACAUAACAUUUAGGCAAUUCACAAGCUUUGUUGUAUGUCUUAUGUCAUAUUUUAAUAUUCUUAAAAAAAUACGACACUUGUAAGCACCCUUAACUAUUGUAUGUCAUAUUUUGUCAUAUUCAGGCAGGUUCUGGAAUCCGAGUAAAAGUGAAUUUGAAAAUAAACCUCAAUCCGAGUGAAUUUGGAUUUGGUGUUCUGAAAUCCGAACUUUUUGAUUCACCGCAAAAAUGAACUUAACAGCUAAUAGCUGUCAAUUUACCCAAAAUAAAUAACAAUCUUUUAAGAAAAAUAAGUGCAUUAGCAAUAUUGGCGGUUAUUUUACGUGAAAAUGAAAGGAAUACAGAAGAAGUUUACAGUAAGAGGAUACUAGGGGCGUUUAUUUAUUCCAGAAAUUCAAAAACUAAAAUAAAAUGAAUUCAGCGCAAACAAAAACUUGUUUAUGUAUAUAUACUCGUAUAUUCUUUCUACGGCUGUUUGUUACAGUAAUUUUGUUCCGCAAACACUUUAAGCUCGGCAAUUUCAAUUUCUUUCAGCUUUAGCUCAUUGUCUUCUUGCCGUAACUUUUCCAUCUGGUAAUGAUGACGCAUACUUUCAAUGUUUCCUUCUUUUAAGGUCACAGUAAGUUCUUUAACGGCCUCGCAAAGUGUAAAUAAAUUUGUGUUUAUGUUUUUGGUUUCCUCCAAAUUUUCUUUCAACCCAUCCACUACAGCUUUCAUGGCGUUUGUCUGUUCGCUGAUGUUUGUCAUGCAGUCAGCUACAACGGGUUCCCGCCUGCAAGACCGCCCCGCAGCGGCGACAUUGGUAGUGGAGGGAAGAGGCUCUUCAUCAUCGGGAGUGUCAGAAGCUGAGUCAUUCCUCUCUGAUGGAACACCAAAGCUCUGCGUAUUAGGCACGCCUUCUACCACUGUAUAUAUGCCGCAUAAUUGGGCAAUCGCGUCUUCUGUCGGAGUAAGGACAUGCUUAUUGAACGGUCCUCCCCCGGUUGCUCUGGCCUCGGAAGUAUUAUACGCCACUUUCUUUCUGAUAAAGGCCUUCCAGUCCAUCCAAACCUAUACAUCUUUUUGGGGGACCAUUUUUAUUUAAAUCUGCCACUAAAUCUCUCCAUAGCGCGUCUACUUUUAUUUUGUCGCCUUUGACAAAUCCUCGGGCGAUAUUGCUGUGCUUCUCCAUAAAUUGAAGAAGGAUUGCUACUUGGAUUGCAUUCUUGUGUUUGCCCCUUUAAAAGUUGUUAAAGUACGUGUUAAAACUACAAUAUUUUUAAUUUUUAAUUACUUACAUUUCUUUUAUACACCAAAUCCGCAAAUUGAAACUGAUGUGAAUGCUAACCGAAUUUUUUCUUGUGAAUUCGUUUCCAGAACAUGCGUAUUCACUCGGAAUUCAUUUUAGAAAAAGUGUGGAAUGGAAAUUGUGAAAGUGAAACACAGAACACCAAAUGCCGGAUUGAAAACGAAUUUUGUUUGAUAUUCACUCGGAAGUGAAUUCCAGAACCUGCCUGUAUAGCUUCUUUAUGUGAAAAUCAUGCAUUGGCUCUAUUAGGAGUUGAAUCAAGUGACGAAGAAGACGAAGCUAUUGAAAGUUUUUGAAGUAAAACUUCUUUAGGCGCGCUUGGCUUGGGGAGUAAACUGACGAACGCGUGACGAACACAGAUGUGAUCAGGCGAAUUUGUAACGAAAAGUGUGAUCAGGCGAGGCGAACGCAGAGAACGUAUAAUAUAGAGAAUGCUCACCGCGUUGCCAAAUUUACGACAUUUCAUUUAACAUAUGUACAUACAUAUUAAAAGACCAAGCGGUCGCGCAUAUUCACGUACAUACAUAUGUAUGUAAUUAUGUGUGCAUGUAAACAAAUUUGCAAGAACCAGAGAACUUAAAAGUAUAGACAGAGAACAUAAAAUUUGUUAACAUUGUUUGUAAGGUCGGAAUUCGCCUCGCAAUUUUAACAUUGUUUACAAUUCUCUCACAUAUUCUAACCGAGAAUAUGAAGAGACAGAAAUAUAUGUAUUUACGGCAUAUGAUGACAAGGCAUAUAUGCCGAAGAAGAGAAUAUGAAGAGACUCCCAACGAAGAAUUUCGUUUUGCUAGUUUAUAUUUUGUUUCAUUUUGACACCGAAAAUGUGUACAAAAUACAUUAUGUUCUCUGUCUCACAUACGCAAGAAUAUGAAGAGACAUAAAUAUAUGUAUGCAUGAAUAUGAAUAUGAAGACAUAAACACAUGCAUGCAUGCUCCUUAUGCAAGUUCAUACAUAUGAAUACAUAUUUACGCACGUUGGACGGCGAAGCUGUUACAGCGGCAAGGGAAGCGGUAACAAUCGGCGAUCGUUUGUUAGUUUCUUUCGCGUCUCGUCGCGUCAAUGCUUCGACAGAUUGAUGUGCUGAACACAUAGAACGCGACAGACUGCAAGCGCCAUCUGAAGCUGAUAUUGAAAUACACACAUUCCUAAGGACACAGUUAUUUAGGCAGCUGCACAACUACAUAACUGUGUCCAUAAGAACGUGUGUAUUUUAAUAUUUGACAGAUGUCGCUUGCAGCCUGCCCCGCUCUAUGUGUUCCGGGCGUGACUCUUUGAGUUUCGGCCAUUGAUUGUCCGUGACAACGGAGAUGCGAAAGAUGCGUGCGACACUUGUUAUUAUGAAUGUAUGUACAUAUGUACAUAUGUAUGUGGCUCGCAUUUGUUUUCGUAACAUACAGACAAAUGUGCCAAAGAAAUAAUAUACAUAUGUAUGUAUGUAUAUGCCAUAGAAAUUCUAUUGGUACAAAUAUGGAAAUGAUAACGAAAUAAUGCGAAUAUGCACAUUUCAUGAAGGUCAUCAAUUUUCUUUGAAGAAAUGAAGUUCAUUUUGCACAUCUUCACUUUGUAAUAGUGGAAAUAAAUAUAAUUUAUUUGAAAUAUUACUUUAUUUAAAUAAAAAUAAAGAGGAAUAAAAUUAAAAUAAUUUUUCCUAAUUUUUCCCGUGUUUUGGACGAUGGAACAAACAUCAUAAUGGUAGUUGUUUACAUGUCGUCCAAUAACACAGUUAAUAAUAUCAUAAAGUUUAUAUACAGAAGACUUAUGAUUUAUGGUCGAGUAGGUUCUGAAGAACUAGGAGAAAACUAUCAUACGUUGCCACUAAUCUUAGCAGGAGAUUUCAAUAUCAAUUUCGCAUCCGAAAAUGGACAACUCUUGAUAAACUUUCUACGAGAUAAAUUAGAAUUACAAAUGAAUAAUGACCGUAAUGAGCCAACUACAAGACAUGGAACAACAAUCGAUGCAGUUUUUUCUAGAUUUCUGUCUAAUUUUAAUUCUAAAAUAUAUGUAUCGUAUUUCUCGUAUCAUAAGCCUAUUGUCUCGGUUUUACAAUCAACCACAGUAAUUACUGAUGUACCCAAUAAUGAAAAUAACGAAUAAAACAAUGCAAAAAAAUAAAAGAUCUAUGCAAAAGUAUUAAUUUACUAAUGAAAACAUAAAAUAAAUUUAAAUAUUUGUAGGAAAUAAAUAUAUGUAUAUGUGCAUACA